rnacentral:rRNA from 1 species
GUACCAUGCUGAAUAUACCGGUUCUCGUUAGAUCACCGAAGUUAAGCAUCAUUGGGCGCGGUCAGUACUUGGGUGGGUGACCGCCUGGGAACACUGCGUGCCGUU